AAGUCCAUUGGGACCAUGGCCUCAACGCAACAGCAAGUCGGCCAUUUUAAAUUCGGCAUCCGUCUUCCAGCCAUUUGCACGCUUCAUAAACGAACAAACUCGUCUGAGAGCGUUUAUCAUACCGACAUAAAAAGUAUGACAAUUUGAAGUACCCCUAUAACUUCACCAUACAUUGCCACAAAACUUCAUACGUGACACAAGAGACCGAUCCUGAACACGUCUACGGACACAAAUUUGACCCAGAAGGCGGUCUGCCAUUUUGAAUUUAGCCGCCAUUUGGCCUUGAAGCGGCACGUGCCCUCUUACUUAUUAUUAUUCUGUGGCUUUGCGGUCAUUUUUGAGGGGAUUGUUGAGUGAGGGAGAGGGGUGAGGUCUGGACUUUUUCCCCCCAUGAAUUACAAUAGGUCCUCGCACCACGAGUCCUUGGGCCCGAAUAAAAAUACAUAUAUUGCAUACAGCUUGAAGAUUUGAGACGAACCUGUUGGUGGCGUGCUUCCAUGGUGAUGAGCGGGUCUCUGAACUUCUUCCUUGUUUGACUUACAUCUAGUGCCAGUUCCUCCAUCAUCCCAGAGUCCAACAGCUCUUGCUCCAUCAGGUCUUGUAGGACGUGGUUAACAGUGCUGCACUCAUUGUUCUCAGCCAGACAGUUGUAGAGGUCUAUGUGUGUUUGUCAAGUGAGUCGAAAAAGCAUUUGGUCACAUUUUAAAAGUGAUUCUGGUGAUUUUUUCAUUGAUUUCUUUCGCUACAAACAUGUCAUUUCAUUUCACAAAUCUAAUCAUUUCUGCCUAAAACAACUGUGGUUCUUCUGAAGCAGACUGACAGUGGACACGGCCAGGCUUAUUUUCACAGCAGUACAAACACAUUUAGCCAUGUGAGGUAACCUAAAAGACAGGACAGUGUGACAAACAAAACAAAAUAAAACAUAAUCACUGGUUGCCUGUCCCUGCCAUUUUACAGUCAACUCUGAAGACACCAACUGAAACAAAUGAUAGUAAUACAGUUCACACUGUGACCAAUUGCAAAAUAUUGUCUAGUUUUAAGUCCCUGCUGGUGGUUUUUCAUAUUCUAAUGAAAAUCACAGCAAACCCAUGAGGUGCCUGUAAAGAAGGAAAACAAUUGGAAGACAUUUAAAAAUGGUAAAGAAAAGGCUACAGGACUUAAUAUGUUAAUAUGGAAAAAUGUGCAAAAUGGACAAAUAAAUAACCCUAUACUGUAUAUGACUACAUGAUGUAUAAUGGACUUCUAUCCUGACUGAACCCAGUGGGAGUAGGUUAUUCAAAACUGGAAGUGCAUGCAUCCACUGAACAUUGAAUAUUGAAAUUAUCUGGCUUGGAAAAAGGUUGACGCUUGACUUUCAGGUCAAACUUACUGUGUGGUUAUAUUUGUGUUCUCUGCGCCUUCAGUCGAGGUGCAACGUUAGGGAAUUAAUCUUUUGUUUGACUUAUUCCUUUUAAGAUGUCCUGGUUCAACCUUUACAGCAUUUAUAGUCUCUAUCAGUAGCCACUAUGUCACUAUCACCACAAGACCACAAAUUCAAUUUAUUCUUGAUUGAUAUCUAUGGAAUCUAUCGAAUUAUCAAAUCGGAUAAUAUAAUGCACUUUUUAUUUAUACAUAUAUAUAUAUAUAUAUAUAUGUGUGUAUAUGUGUAUAUACCAUUGAAGUUGUCAUAGUUCAUGGCAGUGGGCUGGGAACAAGCCAGUGCAGCAGGUUCUUCAGUCUCAGUGUAGCACAUUAGGUCAUCUUCGUCAUCCAUCUCCAGCUCCAGCCGCAACUUACUGCUGAGCCAAUCACCAAGAAGAGCCUGAGCUGCAAUACACAACGCCCACAUGUCAAUGAUCCGUCUGCUGCUGCACGAGGCCAACACUCUCCACUACACAUGAAUCACUCCUCCAGAGACGUCUCUUACAUGUUACUGACUGACUAACCUUCACUGUAUGCGUCGUCAUGAUCUCUUAACUGGUCACAGCUCUGCAGAGGCACAGUGCGGCCGCCGCCGCUUCCUGAAGGAGGUUUCUUCUUCUUGUCUGAGAAGACUUCAGAGACGGCAAACUCGGAGGCCGACUCCACACGCUGAGGGUCGUUCAGAAUAAACAAAAACACAUCAA